CAACGAAGCACCCCGCAUGAGCGGACGCGUUCCCCUGCCCCAGACCGGCGGCGAAGCGACCCCGCGCUCUGCUUCUCCCUACCCGGCGUCGUCCUACACCCCGCCGCGUCGAUCCCUCGCCGGAUAGAUGCAUCCCGUGGCUGGGACCUUUGCUUCCUGUUUGACCCAGUCCCUUCUCAUCCAACAACAACAACAAAAGGAGGAAGCGGCUGCUCCGGCCGCCCCCUGCAGAUUCCAACCAGCGACGGCCCCUUCUGCUCACGCGCCCCUUGGAGAUCCCGGAUCAUGUGGACGUCGACAAGAAGCACGGAGCAGUGGAUGCGGUGCAGUACCUCACUGUAGAUUUUCCUCCCGCUCUUCGUCCACAGGCAAAGGAAGGGAGGAGAGAGGUGUCGGAGUACAGGUGACCAGCAAGCAAAGAAAAGGAAGAGCCAAAGGGGCAGCACUAUUUGUACAUUGCGGCCACCUAGUGGGGUGGAGCUAGAUCCGGGAAAGCACUGUAUCGAGAGUGGUCGAAGAACUGGGCUGCAAAUCGCCGGGCCUCACUAAAUUCUAAAAGGACGUCAAAGCAACAUUUUUGAGGUUUUAUGCACACGCCCAAGCAAGAAGCUUCAAGGUCCACUUCUAGGUGCCGUGCAAAUCAAUACUAGUCGCUCAUGUCGGAAGAAACAAGGGGAAAACACUGGAAAAACAAUUAUAUAAUUGCAAAAAAUCCAAGCAUAAACUAGAAUAGUACUUCCAAGAGAGGGUUUUCCCUGUGUUUUCAGCACGAGUUGCCUGGAAAUUAUUCUAGACUUGCGUGCACAUCAUACCAACUUGCCCAAAAGUUGGUAUGAAAUCUAUGCAGCAAGAUGAAAUCUGACAUCUGUGCCUGUUUAUUCUACCGCCUAGGGAUCUUAAGCUUUCUGGAUUAGAGGGAAAGGAUUCGAUCGUUGAUAAUCCACAAGUGUAGGGGAUCGCAACAGCUUUGGAGGAUAGAGUAUUCAACCCAAAAUUAUUGAUUCGACACAAGGGGAGCCAAAGAAUAUUCUCAAGUAUUAGAAGUUGACUUGUCAAUUCAAC